rnacentral:rRNA from 1 species
GCGAGCGGCGGAUGGGUGAGUAACACGUGGGGAACCUGCCCCUAAGUCUGGGAUACCAUUUGGAAACAGGUGCUAAUACCGGAAAAUAAAGCAGAUCGCAUGAUCAGCUUUUGAAAGGCGGCGUAAGCUGUCGCUAAGGGAUGGCCCCGCGGUGCAUUAGCUAGUUGGUAAGGUAACGGCUUACCAAGGCGACGAUGCAUAGCCGAGUUGAGAGACUGAUCGGCCACAUUGGGACUGAGACACGGCCCAAACUCCUACGGGAGGCAGCAGUAGGGAAUCUUCCACAAUGGACGCAAGUCUGAUGGAGCAACGCCGCGUGAGUGAAGAAGGUUUUCGGAUCGUAAAGCUCUGUUGUUGGUGAAGAAGGAUAGAGGUAGUAACUGGCCUUUAUUUGACGGUAAUCAACCAGAAAGUCACGGCUAACUACGUGCCAGCAGCCGCGGUAAUACGUAGGUGGCAAGCGUUGUCCGGAUUUAUUGGGCGUAAAGCGAGCGCAGGCGGAAAAAUAAGUCUAAUGUGAAAGCCCUCGGCUUAACCGAGGAACUGCAUCGGAAACUGUUUUUCUUGAGUGCAGAAGAGGAGAGUGGAACUCCAUGUGUAGCGGUGGAAUGCGUAGAUAUAUGGAAGAACACCAGUGGCGAAGGCGGCUCUCUGGUCUGCAACUGACGCUGAGGCUCGAAAGCAUGGGUAGCGAACAGGAUUAGAUACCCUGGUAGUCCAUGCCGUAAACGAUGAGUGCUAAGUGUUGGGAGGUUUCCGCCUCUCAGUGCUGCAGCUAACGCAUUAAGCACUCCGCCUGGGGAGUACGACCGCAAGGUUGAAACUCAAAGGAAUUGACGGGGGCCCGCACAA